AGAAAAGAAAACUACCUCUAUAUAAUUUUGUCGAUGUCCAUUUCUUAAGAAGUUUCUCAUUAAAACAACCCUUAACUCAGGCAAGGCAGGGCUAAGGUGGUUAGCGUAACUACAAGUGGUUAACUUACAGUUAGCCAACUGAAGAACAAUCAACAAUGCCCGAUUAAUAAGUGAUCGCGCUGCUGUCUACUACAUGUCCCUGCACUAGUUAUAGCAGUAAUUUCUUUGUUGGGAAGUAUUUAGCACAUCCGGGCUGCGCAAAAGGAGAGGACUAAAUUGAUUAUUAUGAACAGACCAUUAUGAUGAACCACUGAUAUUGACUCAGAGACAUGAAGAUGAGUGCUUUGACAACAAGACUGACUAGCUGAGCCAGCUUAAGAAUUAUGUGGUGUGUGUGUGUCUAAUUCCAGGAGCUCUCUAUGUCAGCCAUCCAUCUAUAUUCUUACUCAUUUUUGUUAAUUAUAAAAUAAAUUUGAUUAUUUA